GGGCCCAUAGCUCAGUCCGGUUAGAGCAGUCGGCUCAUAACCGAUCGGUCCUAGGUUCGAAUCCUAGUGGGCCCACCA
rnacentral:tRNA from 1 species